rnacentral:lncRNA from 1 species
AUGAUCUCUCAGAUUUGUCAGAGUUAUUCCACCAUAGUGGAAGCUGCCGUGAACCACCUGGUCAACUUGCACCUGUGGGCCUCCUACACCUCCCUCUUUCUGGGCUUCUUUUUUGAUGGCGACAAUGUGGCUUUGGAGAGUGCAGGCCACUUCUACUGUGAAUAGGCUGAGGAGAAGCAUGAGUGUGAAGAGAGCAUCUCCUCAAGUUGUAGAAUGAUUGCAAGGGCCAAGCACUCUUCUCAGAUGUACAGAAGCCAUCUCAAGAUGAAUGGGAUAAAAGCCAGGAAGCCAUGGAAGCUGACUUGAACCUGGAGAAGAGCUGAACCAGGCUCUCUUGCAUCUACAUGCCCUGGGUUCUGCAUGACCUGGGUCCUGCCUGCACAGACCCUCAUCUCUGUGACUUCUUGGAAAGUCACUUCCUGGAUAAAGAGGUGAAGCUCAUCAAGAAGAUGGGCAAUCACCUGAGCAACCACCAUAGGCUGGCAGGGCCACAACCAGUGCAGACUGUCUUUCUCUAAGCAUCUCUGGGCUAGUAUCUCUCUGAGCGCCUCAAUCUCCAGCAC